rnacentral:rRNA from 1 species
UACGUAGGUGGCAAGCGUUAUCCGGAAUUACUGGGCGUAAAGCGCACGUAGGCGGACUAUUAAGUCAGGGGUGAAAUCCCGGGGCUCAACCCCGGAACUGCCUUUGAUACUGGUAGUCUCGAGUCCGGAAGAGGUGAGUGGAAUUCCGAGUGUAGAGGUGAAAUUCGUAGAUAUUCGGAGGAACACCAGUGGCGAAGGCGGCUCACUGGUCCGGUACUGACGCUGAGGUGCGAAAGCGUGGGGAGCAAACAGG